UACGAAGGGGGCUAGCGUUGCUCGGAAUCACUGGGCGUAAAGCGCACGUAGGCGGCUUUCUAAGUCAGGGGUGAAAUCCUGGAGCUCAACUCCAGAACUGCCUUUGAUACUGGAGAGCUUGAGUCCGGGAGAGGUGAGUGGAAUUCCUAGUGUAGAGGUGAAAUUCGUAGAUAUUAGGAAGAACACCAGUGGCGAAGGCGGCUCACUGGCCCGGUACUGACGCUGAGGCGCGAAAGCGUGGGGAGCAAACAGG
rnacentral:rRNA from 1 species